UACAGAGGUCUCAAGCGUUGUUCAGAUUCAUUGGGCGUAAAGGGUGUGUAGGUGGCGCGCUAAGUCGGGUGUGAAAUUUCGGAGCUUAACUCCGAAACUGCAUUCGAUACUGGCGUGCUUGAGGACUGGAGAGGAGACUGGAAUUUACGGUGUAGCAGUGAAAUGCGUAGAUAUCGUAAGGAAGACCAGUGGCGAAGGCGGGUCUCUGGACAGUUCCUGACACUGAGACACGAAGGCCAGGGGAGCAAACGGG
rnacentral:rRNA from 1 species